rnacentral:rRNA from 1 species
AUUGAACGCUGGCGGCAGGCCUAACACAUGCAAGUCGAACGAGUGGCGGACGGGUGAGUAAUGUCUGGGAAACUGCCUGAUGGAGGGGGAUAACUACUGGAAACGGUAGCUAAUACCGCAUACCAUCGGAUGUGCCCAUAUGGGAUUAGCUAGUAGGUAGGGUAACGGCUCACCUAGGCGACGAUCCCUAGCUGGUCUGAGAGGAUGACGAGCAACACUGGAACUGGGACACGGUCCAGACGCCUACGGUAGGCAGCAGUGGGGAAUAGUGCACAAUGGGGGCAAGCCUUAUGCAGCCAUGGCGCGUGUAUGAAGAAGGCCUUCGGGUUGUAAAGUACUUUCAGCGGGGAGGCGUUACCGGCAGAAGAAGCACCGGCUAACUCCGUGCCAGCAGCCGCGGUAAUUC